rnacentral:rRNA from 1 species
GACGAACGCUGGCGGCGUGCUUAACACAUGCAAGUCGAACGGAAAGGCCCUGCUUUUGUGGGGUUCUCGAGUGGCGAACGGGUGAGUAACACGUGUGUAACCUGCCCUUGACUUUGUGAUAACUUCAGGAAACUGGGGCUAAUACCGGAUAGGAGCUCCUGCUGCAUGGUGGUGGAUGGAAAGUUUCGGCGGUUGGGGAUGGACUCGCGGCUUAUCAGCUUGUUGGUGGGGUAGUGGCUUACCAAGGCUUUGACGGGUAGCCGGCCUGAGAGGGUGACCGGCCACAUGGGGCCUGAGAUACGGCCCAGUCUUCUACGGGCCGCAGCAGUGGGAAAUAUUACACAGUGGGCGGGCGUGUGAUACAGAAGCGCCGCGUGCGGGAUGACGGCCUUCGGGUUGUAAACCGCUUUCGACUGAGACGAAGCGUGCGUGACGGUAAUGGGUAAAGAAGCACCGGCUAACUACGUG